AGAAGUGACAUAUGCAGCAUGACCAGUGGAAGCUUCGAAGAGCUAUUGCCAAUUUCCACCCUCUCUCUGGAAACUGUCAUUAGGGUUAGGGAAACUGUCAUGAGAUCUGCAUAUUUUAGAUAGAGGCUGCUUGCCUUAUUUGGGCACCUAAUGAAAAAGACAUGGAGGCCAGGUGCGGUGGCUCAUGUCUGUAAUCCCAGCACUUUGGGAGGCCAAGGCGAGUGGAUCACCUGAGGUCAGGAGUUCGAGACCAGCCUGACCAACAUGGCAAAACCCCGUCUGUACUAAAAGUGCAAACACAAAGGGAACUGCGUGGCUUGUUUCUACCUGAACAUUGUCAAGUGAUUUCAUCCUUUGAAACACAGUUGUGAAGUGUGUCCAGCAGUCUGAGAACAAGAAGAAGAAGAAAAUCUAAUCCUUCAGGGUGUCUGUGUGCCAGCCCUGCUCUCAGCACUUCCCAUGUGGAACUCCUUUACUUCUCCUAACAACUCCAUGACAUGGGUUAGACUGUGAUUGUUCCCAUAUUGUUGGUAGGGAAACUGAGGCAUGCAGGUGUUACAGAGCUCUCUCAAGUGGCAAGCUUUCUGGGUGGUUACAGAGUGGCAGAGCUGGGGUAUCCCAUGAUGUCACCACACUGCUAUAUGGAAAAGAACAUUAAUCGAGCACCUACGUGCUUGAUUCUCUUAAUUCUGUGACUGAACUCUCAAAACACCCUGGGUAAGCACUAUCAUCUCCUAUUUUCACAAGUGAAAAAACUGGGAUUCAAAAAAAUUAAGUGACUUACCAAAUAUUACAGAGCUAGUAAGCCAAGACUUGAACACUGAGAUGGAAUUCUACCUUUUAAGGUGGCUAAGCAACAGAAGGAUGUUCCUUUCCCAAGGGGGUAAGAAGCAGUGGCCAUGUUCAGCACAAUUGUCCUAUCACAGGUUCAUGGCAGGGACCGAGCAGUGAGGAUGGGCACUGCCCUGUGUCCUAGCAGAGGGCUGCCUUCUGGCUCCCCAGCCUUGGCCAGCAGCCCUUCUAUCUUCAUGCCAUGACCUAUUUUUGUUCACCCAGUUAGUGUAUGGCCUAUUUCUUUCCUUAAGAAUUACUUCAUAACUUUCACAGAGUAAUAGCACAUGCUGAGCACAGCAUUCAUGAACUUGGACACACGCACACAAAAUGUCCCUUUAAAUUCACAGAGCAGUAUCUGAGAUCCAGGUAGAAAGACCAAAAGGAAAAUUAAGAACAGACUCUCAGACCUGCCUUCCCUUUGCAUUCAGACACAGAGGGAUUGAAAUGCAUAACAAUAGAGAUGAAACACGAAGAGUGAUAAAUGAAGAUUGAGUGUGCACACCUUCUGGAGGAGCCCUGAUUGAGUAUUUUAAAAUACUACUAAAGUCAUGCCGUGUGACUUCUGAAGCUAGCUCCUAAGAAGUCCUUGCAGCUUCUGCCUGCGACUCUUAGAACACUUGCUUUGAAGGAUGCCAGAUGCUGUCUUAAAAGUCUGAGCACUCUGAAACCAUCAUGCUGUGAGGAAGCCCAAGCUAACCACAUGGGCAAAAAAGAUGCCCUCUGACUGCCACCAUUUGAGACACUCUAAUUAAGAACUGCCUCAUUGAGCCCAUGAGGCCCUGUGAAUGAUAAUAAUAAAUUGUUUUUAACCACUAUGUUUUUGGAUUUGUUAUAAGUUUAUAGAUAACAAGAAAAAGUUAUAUUAGCAUGGUAAUAAAAUUAUGGAUAUGUGUAA
ensembl:lncRNA LINC00964 long intergenic non-protein coding RNA 964